GUGUCAGCCGCCGCGGUAAUACGUAGGGUGCGAGCGUUAAUCGGAAUUACUGGGCGUAAAGCGUGCGCAGGCGGUUCGUCGUGUCCUGUGUGAAAUCCCCGGGCUCAACCUGGGAACUGCAUGGGAAACUGGCGAGCUGGAGUGUGGCAGAGGGGGGUGGAAUUCCGCGUGUAGCAGUGAAAUGCGUAGAGAUGCGGAGGAACACCGAUGGCGAAGGCAGCCCCCUGGGCCAACACUGACGCUCAGGCACGAAAGCGUGGGGAGCAAACAGGAUUAGAUACCCGCGUAGUCC
rnacentral:rRNA from 1 species